rnacentral:lncRNA from 13 species
AUGUCAUAUUGGUGAAUAAAUUACGUCGUUUACGUGAUAUUGAACGAGAAGAAAACCUGUUCCGCGCCGCGGCUUCCCGACAUCUCGCUACUUGACCACUGCACGUUCUCACGGUAAGCCUGGACCAAUGGUGAUCUCCUGCAUGUGUUCUCUCGGCGGAGAAGAAACUAGAUCCCGUAAAGAGGGGCGGCAGGUUCUCGAAAUCUAAAGACCGAAAUUCUACAUCGCAAAUUGCACGCGUGCGGUAACCCGCGAGCUGGUUCCGCGUAUUUCAAGAGACGAAAAUCUAGGUCUGUCGGUCAGUAUCGGGGAUGCUGCGGUCCACGCAGCAUCCCUCCUGCUCAUAAAACAGUUUUUCUCCCGGGCGGGCAACUCUCGAAAUUUACGAUUGAAAUUACGGCGGCGCGCGGCAUCCCUACGGAUCGUAAAACAUCUUUCUGACAUUCGAAGAUUCUCACCGAGGAACCUUGUGGAGACCCGUCGCGCAUUAAAUUCAUCGUCAUCAUCAUCAUCAUCAUCAUCAUGCAGUUUUUCAUCCUGUCAUCCAGGAGCGAUCAUUCGCACAAUUUGGCGACUCCUCCAGUCGGGCUACAAUAUACGAGCUACUAGCUGAAGAGUCUCAUCGAUAAAACAAACAAUUUUCUCAUUUCUACUACAAAUCAUGGCACAACGACUGGAGAACAGAGGAGGCCCGGAUAAUAGCGACGGGAGGAACCGGAAAGCAUAAACCCACGCAAAAGUGGAGGCCACUUCAAGCGUUUUCUGCGGCGGUCGCCGUGCGCGACCCUUCCGAAAAUUAUCCAGAACGACCUCGUAGCCGCCGCGGCCUUACCACUGAAGAAAUAACCGCUGACUCGAAAAAAAAAAAAAAAAAUGUUUUUGCAACAAUGAAAUGUGGACGGAGCAAAAGUAUACUUUCGCUGGUAAACCGUGAAAAUGGACUUGCAGGAUUAAAUUGCCUUUUUUGUAAAAGAGAACAUACGCGCAUCUUUCGACGACAUUUAUCGGUAGAAUGAGAUGGCAGCGCGUCAUGAUAAAUAAGAUCUAUAAUUCGAGGAUCAGAUAAAAA